UGGAGUUCAGGUUCUUUAUGUCUCAGUGCAGAAGGAAUUUAGCAAGAGGCAAAGUGAUAGGUAAGAAGCAGAUUUGUUGAGAGAUAAGACAAAGUGUGGUCAGUCUCAAAAGGCAAGAUAGUGGCCCUGGGAGAAACACACACCACAGACAGAGGUGGGCCAUUUCAUAAGGCUUACAGGGAUGAAAAUCUGUUAGAUGACAUGCAACCUGCCCUUUCAAUACUCCUCAAGGACUCUGGGGAUUUCCAGCCAUCUGGAAUUUGCUGUCAUGCUGUGAUUUCUGCAGAGUUUAUACAUCAUUGCCAUGUUUUGGGGAAAGAAAGAGUUCUUGAAAUGAGAAGAUACUCGAUCAUCUUCACUUCCGGGCUAAUCAUUCUUCCACUAAACCUUCUUCAGUUGUGAGAUACAACACUAGAGUGUUAUAUUCCUGGGACAUUCUCCUUUCAAGAGAAAGGCAUACAUCUGCAUUUUUUUGUGGUUGUUUUUAGGGCUGCACCCAUAGCAUACAGAAGUUCCCAGGCUAGGAGACGAAUGGGAGCUGUAAACACUGGCCUACACCACGGCCACAGCAAUGAAGGAUCCGAGCUGCAUCUGUGACCUACACAACAGCUCACAGCAAUGCCAGAUCCUCAACCCACAGAGUGAGGCCAGGAGUUGAACCCUCAUCCUCAUGGAUCCUAGUUGGUUUCAUUAACCAUUGAGUCAUGAAGGGAACUCCCAACGUCUGCACUUUUAAUGUGACUCAAUGGUUAGGUUGGGUUUUUUCUUCUGUGUGUCUCCAGGGUUAGAUGGAAGGGCUUCCCUCCUUCCUCUAACUUUGCUUUUGCUAUGAGGCUCAGACAUUUAUUUUCUGACAUCUUCUCUAGAUUGUUUUUCUUUUGCGUUCACUCUGAGUAAGAAAUAUGAGUUCAGUCACUGCUAAGUGAGGAAAACAUAGCUGCUGUUCAAAAUUAAUCUUGUCUUCAUUUUACUUCCCUGGGUUGUACAAUAGCACUCAGGAGGUGUUUCUAAUGAGGCUAACGAGAAAUCCAAGCAACUGUUCAAUCUAUCAUGGCCCUGCCAAAUAUUUCGAUAUAUCUUAUACUCCAUAUUCAAUGUAUAUCACUUUCCUUAAAAUUCUGUUUUUAAAAUUUAUACUGUGUGCUCCCUGGGGACCCAGGCAAUACCUGCAACUCUAACCACAGUAAUGGUGUUGUGUGAAACAUAACAAAAAGUGAAAGUAGUUGAAUACUUUUCUUUGAUAUCCCUAUUUUUGGCUACUUAAAUAUUUGUCCGUCUUUUACGAAACCACUUUGCAAAUUUGUUUUCUGUUCAAGGGCUUGUUCCCCAAUCACCCUCAUUACAGACUCUGUGCAUUAACAAUAUGACUGCAAACACCUUAUUGGAUCUGUGAUCCCCCUGGACAAAUCACUUCAUCCUCUCUUUAUUUUUCUUUAGGAAAUGAUUACUGUCCUAGCUCCAGUAAUAUUGAAAACAUUCUUUUGAAAUUUUCUCUUCAAAAGAAACUAGGCUCAGGCUGAUUUCUUUGUCUCUUCCUAUAGUUUUAUAAGCUCGCUAACAUCUCCUAAGGAGUUUGCUCUCUUCUUCCAGUUUAACAAGCUUGUUUUCUUUUAUAAUUCUUUUAUACUGUUUCACACUUCUCCCAUUUUGCACAUAAAAUGAAAGAAGCAUGUCUUGAAAGCAAAUUCAAUUAUUCUUUGAUUUCUUAAUGAAAAUCUGCUUUGUGGAAAGGAGGUCUACCAGGCACAUAUGUUUCAAAUUCUCUUAUAGCUUUGGUUUGUAAUAACUGCAAGACUUUUUCUUAUUUCUUUACUGUAUUCAAGAAGAUGGCAUGUUCUCUUCAUAAUUAGGACUCCUCUUCUUUUCUCAUGUUUUCAUUUUUUAAACUCUACCAUUGUAAGUGGUAGUCACUUCUAUGUCUCUGAAAUCUAAACUCAAGGGUAAAGUUUAACUGAUUAAUACACUGAGAGCCAACUGAGCUCCAUGUGAUAGACAGCAAAUAUUUAGUCAUGGACCAGCUACGUGAAUCGCACACUUCAGCCCACAGAGUUUAAUUUCCUUACUUGGCUGUGAAUGGAAUAAAAACAGAAAAAAAAAAAGUUAAAUUUAGACAAUGAACCUAAUGCCUCUUAUUAAUCAUAGCACCUUUUAUUUAGAGGCAUGGGCAUUACUAACUCUUAGCACUUUCUAUUUCAAGGCAUAAAUCCAUGCAGAAUUCAGGGUGUCUAGAGUCCUGGCCUUCUACCUGGCUGAAGAAUGCAAU